rnacentral:misc_RNA from 2 species
UCAAAACAGCGGCCUUCGGGCCUCGCUGCACCCUUGUCUUUUGCGCACCGUAUUGUUUCCUCGGCGGGCUUGCCUGCCGGUUGGACAUCAUAAAACCUUUUUGUAGUUGCAAUCAGCGUCAGAAAAACAAUAAUUAUUA